rnacentral:rRNA from 1 species
AUACGGAGGGGGCUAGCGUUGUUCGGAAUUACUGGGCGUAAAGCGCGCGUAGGCGGCCUGCCAAGUUGGGGGUGAAAGCCCGGGGCUCAACCCCGGAACUGCCCUCAAAACUGGCAAGCUAGAGACCGGGAGAGGUGAGUGGAAUUCCCAGUGUAGAGGUGAAAUUCGUAGAUAUUGGGAAGAACACCAGCGGCGAAGGCGGCUCACUGGACCGGUACUGACGCUGAGGUGCGAAAGCGUGGGGAGCAAACAGGAUUAGAAACCCCAGUAGUCC